rnacentral:rRNA from 1 species
UGGCGAACGGGUGAGUAACGCGUGAGGAACCUGCCUCAAAGAGGGGGACAACAGUUGGAAACGACUGCUAAUACCGCAUAAGCCCACGGUGCCGCAUGGCACAGAGGGAAAAGGAGCAAUCCGCUUUGAGAUGGCCUCGCGUCCGAUUAGCUAGUUGGUGGGGUAACGGCCCACCAAGGCGACGAUCGGUAGCCGGACUGAGAGGUUGAACGGCCACAUUGGGACUGAGACACGGCCCAA